rnacentral:rRNA from 1 species
CGAAGACGCGGAUGUGCAGCAAUGCACGUGGUAGAAGAGCGUUGUAUGAGGAGCGAAGCGAAAAUGAAAAUGAUCGUGGACUUCAUACAAGUGACCAUGCAAGCAUGAGUAGCGAAAAACCGGAUGGAAAUUCCGGUCACCGUAAGACCAAGGAUUCCCGGGGAAGGUUCGUCCGCCCGGGGUUAGCCGGAUCCUAAGGCCAGGCCGAAAGGCGUAGUCGAUGGACAACGGGUUAAUAUUCCCGUGCCGCCUUAACGGAGUGACGGAGUGACGCAGUAUGCUAAGCGAGCUGGCUAUACGCCAGUCUAAUGUCGUAGGACGUCAGGGGUUAAAUGACCUGACAUCAAGUCUGAAAACGGAUGGGACUCGAAGCCUUCGGGUAACGGGGAUUCGCUGAUGCUUUGCUGACGAGAAAAGCUCCUAAACGUUGAUGUUUUGGCGUCCGUACCGUAAACCGACACAGGUGGUCGAGGCGAGUAGCCUAAGGUGCGCGAGUGAAACCACUUCAAGGAACUCGGCAAACCAGCCCCGUAACUUAGGGAGAAGGGGUGCCGAACGGGUGUUAAAGCCCGAACGGUUUCAACAAAGAGGCCGCGGCGACUGUUUAACAAAAACAUAGCUCUCUGCCAACUCGCAAGAGGAAGUAUAGGGAGUGACACGUGACCAAUGCCGAAAGGUCAAUCGGAUCCGUCAGCAGCAAUGCGAAGCGGUGAUGUGAAGCCCCGGUGAAUGUCGGCCGUAACUAUAACGGUCCUAAGGUAGCGAAAUUCCUUGUCGGGUAAGUUCCGACCUGCACGAAUCGUGUAACGAUCGCGGCACUGUCUCGAAGUGGAGCUCGGCGAAGUUGUAAUUCCGGUGAAAAUGCCGGAUACCUGCAGUAGGACGGAAAGACCCUGUGAACCUUUACUGUAAUCUGAUAUUGGCAUUCGGGUGUUAAUGUGUAGGAUAGGUGGGAGGCCGUGAAGCAAGAGCGCCAGCUCCUGUGGAGCCAUCGGUGAAAUACCACCCUUUAUAACUUGAAUGUCUAACCUCAGCCCGUGAAUCCGGGCGGGAAACAGUGUCAGAGGGUCAGUUUGACUGGGGCGGUUUCCUCCAAAAUUGUAACGGAGGAGCACGAAGGUACACUCAGAGCGGUUGGCAAUCGUUCGAAGAGCGUAAGGGUAUAAGUGUGCUUAACUGCGAGACAGACACGUCGAGCAGAUGCGAAAGCAGGUCCUAGUGAUCCAGCGAUAGAACGUGGAAUCGUCGUUGCUCAACGGACAAAAGGUACUCCGGGGAUAACAGGCUGAUAGCGUCCAAGCGUCCAUAGCGACGACGCUGUUUGGCACCUCGAUGUCGGCUCAUCUCAUCCUGGGGCUGUAGAAGGUCCCAAGGGUCCGGCUGUUCGCCGGUUAAAGAGGUACGCGAGCUGGGUUCAGAACGUCGCAAGACAGUUCGGUCCUUAUCCACUGUGGGCGCAGGACAUUUGACAAGAUCAUUCCUUAGUACGAGAGGACCGGGAAUGACUGACCUCUGGUAUUCCAAUUGUGUGUAAACACGCAGCGUUGGGUAGCUAUGUCGGGAAAGGAUAAGCGCUGAAAGCAUCUAAGCGCCAAGCCCCCUUGAAGACUAGAUGUCCCUGGGAUUUAUUCCCCUGAAGGCGGGUCGCAGACGACGACCUCGAUAGGCCGGAUGUGUAAGAACAGCAAUGUUUUCAGCUUACCGGUACUAAUCCGCCGUGAGGCUUGACCAC